UACGUAGGCAGCAAGCGUUGUUCGGAAUUACUGGGCGUAAAGAGUGUGUAGGCGGUGCUCUAAGUUCGGUGUGAAAUCUCCCGGCUCAACUGGGAGGGUGCGCCGAAAACUGGAGUGCUGGAGCGCGGGAGAGGAAAGCGGAAUUCCUGGUGUAGCGGUGAAAUGCGUAGAUAUCAGGAGGAACACCGGCGGUGUAGACGGCCACCUGGACAGACACUGACGCUGAGACGCGAAAGCGUGGGGAGCAAACAGG
rnacentral:rRNA from 1 species